GCCUCCGUGGCUUAGUGGUAUAGCACCGCUCUCGUAAAGCGGAGGUCGGGGGUUCAAAUCCCCCCGGAGGCU
rnacentral:tRNA from 1 species